rnacentral:lncRNA from 1 species
CCCGGCCUUGCUGGGGUAGGGGCGGGAGGGGACGGGGUGGGGACCGGCCAUGUCGGAGGUGACCCGGAGUCUGCUGCAGCGCUGGGGCGCCAGUUUUAGGAGAGGCGCCGACUUCGACUCUUGGGGCCAGCUGGUGGAGGCGAUAGACGAGUAUCAGAUAUUAGCAAGACAUCUACAAAAGGAGGCCCAAGCUCAACACAAUAAUUCUGAAUUCACAGAAGAACAAAAGAAAACCAUAGGCAAAAUUGCAACAUGCUUGGAAUUGCGAAGUGCAGCUUUACAGUCCACACAGUCUCAAGAAGAAUUUAAACUGGAGGACCUGAAGAAGCUAGAACCAAUCCUAAAGAAUAUUCUUACAUAUAAUAAAGAAUUCCCAUUUGAUGUUCAGCCUGUCCCAUUAAGAAGAAUUUUGGCACCUGGUGAAGAAGAGAAUUUGGAAUUUGAAGAAGAUGAAGAAGAGGGUGGUGCUGGAGCAGGGUCUCCUGAUUCUUUUCCUGCUAGAGUUCCCGGUACUUUAUUACCAAGGUUGCCAUCGGAACCAGGAAUGACAUUACUCACUAUCAGAAUUGCGAAAAUUGGUUUGAAAGAUGCUGGGCAGUGCAUCGAUCCCUAUAUUACAGUUAGUGUAAAGGAUCUGAAUGGCAUAGACUUAACUCCUGUGCAAGAUACUCCUGUGGCUUCAAGAAAAGAAGAUACAUAUGUUCAUUUUAAUGUGGACAUUGAGCUCCAGAAGCAUGUUGAAAAAUUAACCAAAGGUGCAGCUAUCUUCUUUGAAUUCAAACCCUACAAGCCUAAAAAAAGGUUUACCAGCACCAAGUGUUUUGCUUUCAUGGAGAUGGAUGAAAUUAAACCUGGGCCAAUUGUAAUAGAACUAUACAAGAAACCCACUGACUUUAAAAGAAAGAAAUUGCAAUUAUUGACCAAGAAACCACUUUAUCUUCAUCUACAUCAAACUUUGCACAAGGAAUGAUCCUGACAUGAUGAACCUGGAACUUCUGUGAAUUUUACCACUCAGUAGAAACCAUCAUAGCUCUGUGUAGCAUAUUCACCCUUCAACAGGCAGGAAGCAAGCCGUACCCAGACCAGUAGGCCGGACGGAGUCCAAUGCAAAGCUGUACCACAGAAUUCAGAGUCCAGCACAUCACUGACGUAUAGGACUCCUUGGGAUACAGGUUUAUUGUAGAUUUUGAAACAUGUUUUUACUUUUCUAUUAAUUGUGCAAUUAAUAGUCUAUUUUCUAAUUUACCACUACUCCUACCCUGCUUCCUGGAACAAUACUGUUGUGGGUAGGAUGUGCUCAUCUUCAGACUUAAUACAGCAAUAAGAAUGUGCUAGAGUUUACACAUCUGUUCACUUUUGCUCCAAUAUGCUCUUUUGACUUAAUGUCAAGCUUUGGGUUGAUGUGGGUAGGGUAGUGUCAAACUGCUUUGAGAGGAAUGGGACCAGUUCUGCUGCCUAAGAAGGUCUGUCUGGAUGUUUAUAGGCAGCACCUCUGAAGUGGCCUAAAUUCACCCUGAUCUGAUAGUUUUCCUGCUUAGAAAGUGUGCCUUGGCCAGAUCAGUAUCCCACAUGGGAGUGUUCCCUAGGUUGUAGCUGUGAUUGUUUCCAGAUGACCAGAUUGUUUUUCUGAAAAUGAGCAUAUUUUUAGUCAUGUCGAUUAGCUGUUCUUCUACAUCACAUUGUUACUCUUUCUGAUGAUGAUUCUAGGGUUAACAUUGGAACCAUCUCAAAAUAAUUACAAAGUUUUAGAUGGGUUUACAAUGUCUUCUAAACAAUGUAAUCUAAAAAUAAUUGAGUCAGAUGCUAACGAGAUACUGCAGGCAUAAGUGCUGUUUUUCUGACAACUGAUUGUGAAACCUUAAAACCUGCAUACCUCUUCUUACAGUGAGGAGUAUGCAAAAUCUGGAAAGAUAUUCUAUUUUUUUUAUAUAGGUAGAUAGGAUCGCCAUUUAUUUCCUAUUUAGAUAUACUGACAUUCAUCCAUAUGAAAAUAUGCAGGUCAUUAGCUUACUAUAAUUUACUUUUGACUUAAUGGGGCAUAAAUAAAACUUUCAUAGUAC